rnacentral:tRNA from 1 species
GGCGGUGUGGUAUAGUGGGUAAGGAACUGGUCUUGUAACCUAAAGGUCACGGGUUCGAUUCCCGGUAAUGGACG